rnacentral:lncRNA from 1 species
GGGUUACAUGCAUGAGGCACUGCGCCCAGCUGUUCUGUCAUUUUUGAUAAGAAUAUAAGUCCACUGAUCAGGAAACCUCCCUACAUCUUCCAUAUGCUGCCAACACCUCAUGGGUGUCUAAUAAGCAAUUAAAUAGUCCCAACAAUAAGAGAGAAACCCAAAUUCUAAAACUCGAAUCUUCACAAACCACCAUGGCACACGUUUACCUAUGUAACAAACCUGUAUAUCCUACACAUGUACCCUGGAAUUUUAAAAUAAAGAAGCAGGUGAAAUUAACAUUAAUAAAGACUCUAUUCAACUCCCCCCCACCAAAAAAAAAAAAAACCCACUAAUCUUCAUUUAUGACGUUGUAUAAUUCCUCUAAAGCUAUUCUUUAAUUCAUUUGACAGGGGCUGAAGGAAGCUUGUUACUUAAGCAGGAGGUGGCCCAGAGGGAAGAACUAGAGAGAUGUUGGGGUGGGGAUGAUGGUGGAGGAUGCAUUACACACUCUCAGGGCCACCAUUACUACCACCCUGGACUCACACACAACCCACUCUCUACUGUGAACCAAACUCCACACAAACUUCACCUAGAAGCUCCUGAGCAGCUUCCCUGCCUCUGUGAGUUCCAUGGCAGUGUGGAUGGUGGCACCCACAGCACUUGGUAGGCAAGGAGAGAGGGGAUUCUCCAGAGGUCUUCCCCAAGAGGGAACCGCUUCUAAAAGAUGGGCCCCAGAACUUCAGAGAGAGAGAAAUUUAGACUUUGUAAAGCCAACUCUUCGAGAUAUGGGAGUGGACAGGGAAAGGAGGUGUUUCCCUAGAAUUGUACUAUUUCCUAGUUUGGUUUAGUCGGUUCUCCACAGCCCACUCUACAUAGCCAGGGGAUGCAGAGCCAUGUCUGCUCCCUGAGGGUUGCACCUACUGUCAUUAACCCCACCCAAUUUUCUCACUGAGGAGGUAGUAGAGUGAAGUGAGCCUGUAAGCUGCUGGCUCUUCUUGCUGCUACCUCCAAUAUGCCCAACAGCAGAUGGCCUUCACGGGCCUGUUGCAUGACCCCAGGUCCAGCAAACACAUUUCCUCUGUGUCAUCAAGGUUUGUCUGGAAGAUGAGCUCAAUAAAUUCUUGAUGAAAUCCGCCAGCCUACUAUCAAGAUUUGACUGAGACAUACUUAACUAGCGUAAACCAACUGCUACUAACAAAAAAUUAACUGAUGAAAAGUGAUGGAAAUGAAGGGACUCUGAAGCAACACGAACUAGUGAUAGUCAAAUAAUAGUAAUAGCUAAUAUUUAGUGAGCACUAACUGGGUCAAACAUUGUGCUAUAUGCUUUGUAUAUUUUAGAUAACAGUCCUUUAUCUAAUAUAUCUUUUGCAAUAUUUUUUCCUACUCACGGUUUGUGUUCUCAUUCUCUUGUAUUUGCAGAGCAAAAGCUUUUAAUUUUAAUGGAGUUCAGCCUAUCAGUUGUUUCUUUCAUGGGCGGUGCCUUCAGUGUUGUACCUAAAAAGUCAUUGCCAAACCCAAGGUUGUCAGAUUUUCUCCUAUGUUAUCUUCUAGGAGUUUCAUAAUUGUGUAUUUUACAUUUAGGUGUAUGAUCCAUUUUGCAUUACCUUUGUGAAGAUGUAAAGUCUGUGUCUCGAUUCUUUUCUGUGUGUGUGCAUGGCUGUCCAGUUAUUCCAGCACCUUUGUUAAAAGACUGUCUUCUCCAUUGUAUUGCCUUUGCUCCUUUGUAAAAAAUCAAUUGAUAAUUUUUUUUUUUUUUAGCUGGGACUACAGGUGCCUAUCAUCACAACCUGGCUAACUUUUGUAUUUUUUUUUAGUUUCUUCCCAGUCUUGGUUUUAUCUUUAUCAGCAUCACGAAAAUGGACUAAUACAGUUCUAAAUAAACAUACCUAAAUAUAGAAAAGGUGAUUGGUUGUGCUAUGAUGUUACAAUGGCUAUGAUGUCGUUCAGUAGUAGGAAUUUUUCAGCUCCAUUAUCACCUUACAGGACCACCUCAUAUAUGCAGUCUGUCAUUGACUGAAUGUCAUUAUGCGGCACAUGACUGUACCUGAAAUAGACACAACCGGCACUUUGAUUACACUGGGCAAGGAGCUAACAUGACUCCUCUUCCCCACUCUUCUUCCCUUAAUAAUAGCCAUGUCUUGGACCUUAAACAGCCACUCCUCUCUUCUUUCGCAUUCACUUGGGACUGCGAGGACUUUCAGAAUGGGGUACAACUACACCCAGUGCUGGAGCAGACUUCUGUGGUUUGCCUGAGCCUCUAUAACACAAGGGUUCUCAUGCCUCCAACGCCCUCAUGGAGCUAUUGUGAGGAGCUGUGCUCCUCAAAGAGGAAGUUUGAAGUGACCAAAGCCUACUUUACUGGUAGACCAAGAAUUUUUUUGUUUCAAUCCUUUAAAAAUUUCAAAAUAAAACCACAGAGAUGUGUUAAAGUGACAAUAUCAGGAAGGGGUUCUUCAGAGAAAGGAUCUGUAUGAAUUGAAAAGCUGGGCUCAACUCUCCUUCAAGAUACCUGCAAUAAUGCUGGCAAAUUCAUCUGCCUUUCCUUCUUCUCUGGCUCAUUACUGAGGUGCCGCAAAAUGCUGUCACAUGCCCAGGCAAUAAAGGGUUGGUUGGGAGGCACACCUGCUACCCUUUCUUUUAUCGCUGGGAGCAAA